rfam:Dothistroma septosporum NZE10 unplaced genomic scaffold DOTSEscaffold_1, whole genome shotgun sequence.
UUCGGUGAUGAUACCGUGACACAAAUGGCAUUCCUCGAACGGAACAAAUCAUGUCGAUUUUGUGCAAAUUAGUUUCAGCCUUGUCUGAGA